rnacentral:rRNA from 1 species
AUGAACGCUAGCGGCAGGCUUAACACAUGCAAGUCGAGGGGCAGCAUAAUGGAUAGCAAUAUCUAUGGUGGCGACCGGCGCACGGGUGCGUAACGCGUAUGCAACCUACCUUUAACAGGGGGAUAACACUGAGAAAUUGGUACUAAUACCCCAUAAUAUCAUAGAAGGCAUCUUUUAUGGUUGAAAAUUCCGAUGGUUAGAGAUGGGCAUGCGUUGUAUUAGCUAGUUGGUGACGGUAACGGCUCACCAAGGCGACGAUACAUAGGGGGACUGAGAGGUUAACCCCCCACACUGGUACUGAGACACGGACCAGACUCCUACGGGAGGCAGCAGUGAGGAAUAUUGGUCAAUGGACGCAAGUCUGAACCAGCCAUGCCGCGUGCAGGAUGACGGCUCUAUGAGUUGUAAACUGCUUUUGUACUAGGGUAAACUCACCUACGUGUAGGUGACUGAAAGUAUAGUACGAAUAAGGAUCGGCUAACUCCGUG